AGUCCAAAAGCUGUGAGCCAGCGCAGGAGUACUCAGUGGGAAGGCGGGUGUGAUUGCGCGCGCAUGUGCAGG